GCAAGUCGAGCGAGAUCUUCGGGUCUAGCGGCGGACGGGUUAGUAACGCGUGGGGACGUGCCUCUCUCUACAAAAUAGUCCCGGGAAACUGGGUUUAAUACCGUAUACGCCCUUUGGGGGAAAGAUUUAUCGGAGAGAGAUCGGCCCGCGUAAGAUUAGAUAGUUGGUGGGGUAACGGCCUACCAAGUCUACGAUCUUUAGCUGGUUUGAGAGGAUGAUC
rnacentral:rRNA from 1 species